UACGUAGGGUGCAAGCGUUGUCCGGAAUUAUUGGGCGUAAAGAGCUCGUAGGCGGUUUGUCGCGUCGGCCGUGAAAUCUCCACGCUUAACGUGGAGCGUGCGGUCGAUACGGGCAGACUUGAGUUCGGUAGGGGAGACUGGAAUUCCUGGUGUAGCGGUGAAAUGCGCAGAUAUCAGGAGGAACACCGGUGGCGAAGGCGGUUCUCUGGGCAUGUCCUGACGCUGAGGAGCGAAAGUGUGGGGAGCGAACAGG
rnacentral:rRNA from 1 species